CGGCGCCCUCACAGACCAUCCCGCCCCUUCCCGGCGGGCUUGGGGAGGCGCUGGUGCCCGGUUGGACCCUGGAAUACACAGGGGCCGUGAGCAAUCGGCACGGCCCGAGGUGUGGAUGCGCUUUCCAGGAGCUCAGGGGAGCUGCCUCAAACGGGAGCGUCCCUCAAAGCUCAGCGAGUUUCUGAAGCUGGUGAGCGAAGAGCCAGAAUCGUAUGGACACCUUGGGUAGUGUGGGCAAUCUCUCAGAUGGACCUCUGAACCUCCCUGAAAUCCUUCAGGACUUCUGAGUACUGGGAAAGAGCAAGCAGAAAAAGCAUUAGACUGAAUCUCUGAUGAUGCUGCCAAAAGCACAAAGACUGCAGUGAGGCUCUUUCAGCAGUGACUCCCAGGGCAGUGCCUGUCAGGACUCCUCAGAGCAUUCCCCCGUGGAUUCUCAGGCACAGGAGUGGCUGUUCCUGGGGAGCACAGAGGGGAUCACACGCACUCCUGGACCUCUGCAGCUCCACGUGAGUAACUCUGGGGCCUUCUGCUUUGCUGGUUCCUGGCAGCAAAGCUGCCCUCACCAUUACCAGCAGCUCUUCUGCUGCUCCUCUCAGCAGAGAUCUCUCUCUGCCAGACUCUCACAGUCUUUGUAGGGCAGGGAUGUUUGAAGCUCCUUCCUGAGAGCUCUAAAAUGUCCUGGGCGUGUUGCUCGUGGUUUGGGUAAGGGAGAAGUUUUCAUUGCCUAUUUGUGUGUUGAAAAGAUAAAUCACUUUAUAAAUACCUGUAAGUAACUUCCAACUUCCUUUUGGCAUGUCAACAACAUAACUAAUUAAGAAGAAGCAAAUUACAAUUUAAUACAACUCCCCAAAUGCUCUCUCUAAAGCCUUAAUACAAGAAUAGAAUAAAAAUACUCUCAGGAGGCUGAAGACCAACAGGAUAUAAGGGAUUGGUUGAAGAUAGGGUGCGUGGUCAGAUCUGACCAGUGAAUCUGAGCAGGAAGAUCAAGAGGGACCCCUUGGCAGAGAAAGUCAGCAGGGAAUGAUUGCUCAUUGCCUCCCUUUUCAGAACAAAAAUUUGGGAAAUAAUUUCUUGUAAACAUUAGGUGUAAUCUAAUCUGCUUAAAAAAUUAAGUCCCCUUCAUUAAUUUUUAAAAUCUCAUUCACUGGAGAUUUUUUGAUCAUUCCUUUUUGUCCCCACACAGAAUUUGUUUUUUUAAUUCAUAAAGAUGACCCCUGACAGAUUCCACUGGACUCACAGGAUCACCUUAAUUUAUCUUUGCUUUUUUUAAACUACAUGAUUCAAGUGAUAAGAAUAUAAAGUGUGCAUAAAAUCAAUACACCCAUCUUCCUUAACUGAAUCCUAUAUACACUUAUACAUCAUAUAUACACCUAGAAAUAUGGUGUGCAAUUUUUUCCUGCUAUUUCUGGACAGCUCUAACUUUGUAUGAGCUUAAUUGGAUUAUUUAAUUAUUUGCAUUCUAUUUUGUUAUUUAGUAAGCUCCUAGUUUGGAUGAGAAAUAAUGAGAAGUCUUUCAGAAUGCAGAUUAAUGCAGAUUUUUUUUUCUUUGGCUGACAUUUCCUAUAGACCGACUGUACAAAUGUCAUCUGGGAAAAUAAUAUUUGUCACAAAUGUAUUAGCAUGAGGAGUAAAGUAGAAAAAAAAAUUUAAACAAAACCAACUUGUUGUGUGUUUCUGUGUUUCUUUUUUUUGAAUGGAAGAGCUGUAUUUUCACACC